UGCUGACCAGGUGCCUGCACUAAGUUCAGCACCAAUAUGGCGACCUCCUGGGAGCAGGGGGGGCCACCAAGUUGCCUAAGGAUGGCUGAACUGGCCCAGGUCAGAAACGGAGCAGGUCAGAACUCCCAAACCGACCGGUAGUGGGACUGUGCCUGGGCG
ensembl:misc_RNA Metazoa_SRP Metazoan signal recognition particle RNA